rnacentral:rRNA from 1 species
AUUGAACGCUAGCGGCAGGCCUAACACAUGCAAGUCGAGCGAGCGGCGGACGGGUGAGUAAUGUCUGGGAAAGUGCCUGAUGGAGGGGGAUAACUACUGGAAACGGUAGCUAAUACCGCAUACCAUCAGAUCUGCCCAGAUGGGAUUAGCUAGUAGGUGGGGUAACGGCUCACCUAGGCGACGAUCCCUAGCUGGUCUGAGAGGAUGACCAGCCACACUGGAACUGAGACACGGUCCAGACUCCUACGGGAGGCAGCAGUGGGGAAUAUUGCACAAUGGGCGAAAGCCUGAUGCAGCCAUGCCGCGUGUAUGAAGAAGGCCUUCGGGUUGUAAAGUACUUUCAGCGGGGAAGCGUUACCUGCAGAAGAAGCACCGGCUAACUACGUGCCAGCAGCCGCGGUAAUAC